rnacentral:rRNA from 1 species
UACGAAGGGUGCAAGCGUUACUCGGAAUUACUGGGCGUAAAGCGUGCGUAGGUGGUUUGUUAAGUCUGAUGUGAAAGCCCUGGGCUCAACCUGGGAAUUGCAUUGGAUACUGGCAGGCUAGAGUGCGGUAGAGGAUGGCGGAAUUCCCGGUGUAGCAGUGAAAUGCGUAGAGAUCGGGAGGAACAUCUGGGGCGAAGGCGGCCAUCUGGACCAGCACUGACACUGAGGCACGAAAGCGUGGGGAGCAAACAGG